GGGAACAAAGAAGGGUGAUUAAGGAGACGCCUUGCCGUCUCGAGUUGCUUGUUCUCCCAUCGUUAAGGCAUGGAAGUUGCUGGGGGUUUGCUGGUUGAAACUGUUAAAUUUUGUUGUUUAAUGUUAUAUGAUAAUCAUAUUAUUAGUGUAUUUUCAAGGGUUAACGAAACACAGGAAAAGACGGCCUCGCACGGUUUGGUGUCUAUCACGUUUUGUUGCUUUCGGGAACCUUGUGGAGGGCAGAGCAUGUGCAGAAGAAGAGGGAGCCGGUUGAAGCCGCCCCUGCGGUCUGGACGAGAUCCAGGAACCCACAGGGUCUGUGCAGGAACAAAAGGUUGCUAGCAGUGAUGGGGGGGAACCGUGAGCCUUCAUCCCCACGACUCCCAAUGACCACCACCAAGAGACACUGCGCAGGUGCCAAAAGGAGGAGUUUGUGAAAAUACCAAUUAUAAUACGAAGCGGGGAUAGGCCAUACAUAUGUAUAGACGUACUCGGGUUUCUUAUGAAUAUGUAAAAGCAGUGUUGUAUAUAUGUAGAAUGUUUGACGGUUGUGUGUGCGUGUUGGUAGAGCGUAGACUCCCCGCGCACCCAGCGCUGUUUACUUGCCUUAUAUAAAUAUUAGUAAAUUCAGAUUGAGUUGUGUCUUCAUUUAUAACAGUAUAUAAACUGUGCUUUGUAACUAGUAGGUACAUUCCUGCUUGCGGGAUGCCCUCUAUUGCAAUCUUGAAUAAAAAUGCUACUUCACUGAGA